UACGUAGGGUGCGAGCGUUGUCCGGAAUUAUUGGGCGUAAAGAGCUUGUAGGCGGUUUGUCGCGUCUGCCGUGAAAAUCCGGGGCUCAACCCCGGACUUGCGGUGGGUACGGGCAGACUAGAGUGUGGUAGGGGGAGACUGGAAUUCCUGGUGUAGCGGUGAAAUGCGCAGAUAUCAGGAGGAACACCGGUGGCGAAGGCGGGUCUCUGGGCCGUUACUGACGCUGAGGAGCGAAAGCGUGGGGAGCGAACAGG
rnacentral:rRNA from 1 species